GUCAGGCUCGUUGACUUGGUUGAUACAUGUCAUCGGUUCCCAAUUGCGCAGAUCGAUGCCCAUGCUGUUGAUCAAUGGAUUGUCUGGUCCAAAUUAGAUUAAUUACAGACCGCCGCCAUAUAGCUGGAAUAUUGCUGAGUGCAGCGUUAAAC